UGCAUACAUCGGGUGUGCACAGGAUGAUAUUCUUGAAAGGGUUGUUUAUCCUGCGUUUCUCUCGACCUUACCCUGGCCUAGAUAACACCCGUGAGUGGGGAGGGAAUGAUCAUUAUUACAGGUACAGUUGGUGACUUGUGGUCCUGUUGGUGACUCUUGGUUCUUCAGAUGACAGUUCCUCAGAUGACUGUGGGUUUCAGAUGAAUUGUGGUUCCGAGUUCUAGCCGAAGCUUUGAUCCUGUGUUCUAGGAUGCACAGCCUGCCAGUCUUGUCUGCAUCAUUUGCA
rnacentral:lncRNA from 1 species